rnacentral:lncRNA from 1 species
ACUCAUCAAAAUUUUCAUUCUUUAAAAUUGCAACUCCACAUCAUUCAAUUAAUAUUGUGAUUCCCAGCAAUAAGGUUGCUUCUAUAUUCUUAACCUUCUUGACAUCAUAUCUGCACAUACCUUAAAACAAAUUAUUAGCAUUAGUUUUUGUUUUUUUACUCUUUUUUUCAUCUCUCUACCUUGAACUUUAUCAUAGUAUCAGAGUUCUCCUUUUUUUUAGAGCUUUAUACAAUCAUUAAUAUCAGUUGUGCAAUCUUUUCUUUGUUCCGCUCAUGGCUUCUGUUCGUGAUGCUGCUUCUCAUGAACUUGGUUUUGAAGAAGGCAUGAUCUGGCUACCCUGAAAGAUACAUAUCCAAAUUUAGAUUAUGAGGAUAUUAAAGUUACUACAGUCAAACCCUUUCCAUCAAAAGAUGCAGGAUCUAUGUUUUUAAUGCAUUUGUUUCCAUAUUCGACUACUUCAUUCAGUGAGUACCCUUCCUCAACAAUAUUGACUUGUUGAAAUUUGGUAACAACAAUAGCUUUCUUAUCUAGUAAGGAUGUGUUCUCAGAAUUGAUAGUUCUUGACUCCAAAUGAAGUUUGUGUAAGUUUCUCCAUGUCUAGCAUUACCUAGUUUCUACCUACAAGGUGUUUGAUUAAAUGCUUCUGAAGAUUUUGUCUUAUUGUUUUCAGCCUUUUAAGCUUGUUUUGAUUAUUUUAGCUUCUAUCAUGUGUGGUAGUUAAGCAUUGUUCAUUUGUUUGCUUAUGUUCAUGGUGAUUAAAUAUUAUUUUAGCUUCUGUCAUGGAUGGUUAAGUCUUGGUUGCAGUUGGUUCACAAAGUGUAUGUGAAAAGUCUUCAUUGAAACAGAUUUUGUGUUCUUCUAUUUUGUUGAUGUAAGCUUUUAUCCAUAGUGAUUAAGCAUUGCUUAAGCUUUUGCCAUGGAUGGUUAGACAUUAAAUUGUUGUUUUACUUUUUUCUUAAGUGGUUAAACAUUGAUUUUAGUUUCUGCUCUUGAUGGUUAAGCCUUGUUGCUUAUGUCAAGUGGUUAAACUUUGAGGUAUAAUUUCUGCUUGGUGGUUAAGCUUUGAUAAUUUCCUGGAUUGAUUGUUGUUGAUUUUGCUUGAUGUUUAAGCUUUGAUGCUUGCUUUGGACUCAAGAAGAUUGAGAAAGUCAAUGUUGAUCGAAGAUUUCUAAAAGCUACUGUUUUGACUGAUGUAUUUCUAGCAUGUUUAGCUAUAUUUCAAUUUUUCAGACUUUAUUUUUAUUUCCUUUGAUGUAGAUGUAUUAUCUUCUUCCAACUUGUGGGGUAUUAUAAAUAUAGAUUAG